rnacentral:rRNA from 1 species
CCUACGGGUGGCAGCAGUGAGGAAUAUUGGUCAAUGGGCGCUAGCCUGAACCAGCCAAGUAGCGUGAAGGAUGACUGCCCUAUGGGUUGUAAACUUCUUUUAUAUGGGAAUAAAGUGCAGUAUGUAUACUGCUUUGCAUGUACCUUAUUAAUAAGGAUCGGCUAAAUCCGUGCCAGCAGCCGCGGUAAUCCGGAGAAUCCGAGCGUUGUCCGGAUUUAUUGGGUUUAAAGGGAGCGUAGGCGGUUUGUAAAGUCGGGUGUGAAAGCUGGCGGCUCAACCGUAAAAUUGCAGUUGAUACUGGGAUCCUUGAGUACAGUAGAGGUAGGCGGAAUUCGUGGUGUAGCGGUGAAAUGCUUAGAUAUCACGAAGAACUCUGAUUGCGAAGGCAGGCUGCUGGACUGUAACUGACGCUGAUGCUCGAAAGCGUGGGUAUCAAACAGGAUUAGAUACCCUAGUAGUC